GUGUCAGCCGCCGCGGUAACACGUAAGGGGCGAGCGUUGUUCGGAAUUAUUGGGCGUAAAGGGCACGCAGGCGGUUAUACAAGUCCGAUGUUAAAGACCUGGGCUUAACUCAGGGGAUGCGUUGGAAACUGUAUGACUAGAAUCUUGGAGGGGGAGUCGGAAUUCCUAGUGUAGGGGUGAAAUCUGUUGAUAUUAGGAAGAACACCGGUGGCGAAGGCGGACUCCUGGCCGAAGAUUGACGCUGAGGUGCGAAAGCAUAGGGAGCAAACAGGAUUAGAAACCCUCGUAGUCC
rnacentral:rRNA from 1 species